CCCUUAGAUGUUCUGGGCUGCACGCGCGCUACACUGAAGCUAUCAACACGUUUUCCCUCCCUGAGAAGGGCGGGUAACCUUUUGAAUCAGCUUCGUGGUAGGGAUCGGGGCUUGCAAUUGUUCCCCGUGAACCAGGAAUUCCUAGUAGACGCGAGUCAUAAGCUCGCAUCGAUUAAGUCCCUGCCCUUUGUACACACCGCCCGUCGCUACUACCGAUUGAACGUUUUAGUGAGGCAUUUGGACCGACGCAUCUCAGUUUAACCGCUGGUUUGUGUUGGAAAGACGUCCAAACUUGAGCGUUGAGAGGAAGUAAAAGUCGUAACA
rnacentral:rRNA from 1 species